UGAUGCGUCCUCAGAGCCGGGUGGCGGYGUGGUUAAGGAAUUGGCGGGGGAGCACAUAACUCCGUUUCUGCGGUGGAUACUGCAAGGCUUGAGUGUGGUAGAGGCRGACGGAAUUCCCGGUGUAGCGGUGAAAUGCGUAGAUAUCUUGGAAGAACACCAGUGGCGAAGGCGSUCUGCUGGGCCAUAACUGACGCUCAUGGACGAAAGCUDGGGGAGCGAACGGGAUUAGAUACCCCGGUAGUCCUMGCCGUAAACGAUGAACACUAGGUGUCGGGGGAAUCGACCCCCUCGGUGUCGUAKCUAACGCGUUAAGUGUUCCGCCUGGGGAGUACGCACGCARGUGUAAAACUCAWAGGARUUGGCGGGGGAGCACAACA
rnacentral:rRNA from 1 species